AGUGAACGCUGGCGGUAGGCCUAACACAUGCCAGUCGAACGGCAGCACAGUAAGAGCUUGCUCUUACGGGUGGCGAGUGGCGGACGGGUGGGGAAUACAUCGGAAUCUACUUUUUCGUGGGGGAUAACGUAGGGAAACUUACGCUAAUACCGCAUACGACCUACGGGUGAAAGCAGGGGAUCUUCGGACCUUGCGCGAUUGAAUGAGCCGAUGUCGGAUUAGCUAGUUGGCGGGGUAAAGGCCCACCAAGGCGACGAUCCGUAGCUGGUCUGAGAGGAUGAUCAGCCACACUGGAACUGAGACACGGUCCAGACUCCUACGGGAGGCAGCAGUGGGGAAUAUUGGACAAUGGGCGCAAGCCUGAUCCAGCCAUACCGCGUGGGUGAAGAAGGCCUUCGGGUUGUAAAGCCCUUUUGUUGGGAAAGAAAAGCAGCAGGUUAAUACCCCGCUGUUCUGACGGUACCCAAAGAAUAAGCACCGGCUAACUUCGUA
rnacentral:rRNA from 1 species